rnacentral:rRNA from 1 species
UCAGUAAGUCGGGUGUGAAAGCUCCGAGCUCAACUCGGAGAGGCCACUCGAUACUGCUGUGACUAGAAUCCAGUAGGGGAGUGUGGAAUUCCUGGUGUAGCGGUGAAAUGCGCAGAUAUCAGGAGGAACACCGGUGGCGAAGGCGGGUCUCUGGGCCGAUACUGACGCUGAGGAGCGAAAGCGUGGGGAGCGAACAGGAUUAGAUACCCUGGUAGUCCACGCUGUAAACGGUGGGUACUAGGUGUGGGGUCCAUUCCACGGGUUCCGUGCCGUAGCUAACGCUUUAAGUACCCCGCCUGGGGAGUACGGCCGCAAGGCUAAAACUCAAAGGAAUUGACGGGGGCCCGCACAAGCGG